CAGUAAUUAGUUUAAUUUAAAAUAUCAAUUUUGGAGAUUGAAGAUGUGUUAGAGCAUUUUACUGA
rnacentral:tRNA from 1 species